GCUAGGAUGAACGCUAGCGACAGGCCUAACACAUGCAAGUCAGGGGCAGCACAGGGAGCAAUCUGAGGUGGCGACCGGCGCACGGGUGAGUAACACGUAUGCAACCUGCCUGUAAGCGGGGAAUAACCCGUUGAAAGACGGACUAAUACCGCAUAAUACUAAAUUACUGCAUGGUAAUUUAUUUAAACAUUUAUGGCUUACAGAUGGGCAUGCGCAUGAUUAGCUAGUUGGAGAGGUAACGGCUCCCCAAGGCAACGAUCAUUAGGGGUUCUGAGAGGAAGGUCCCCCACACUGGUACUGAGACACGGACCAGACUCCUACGGGAGGCAGCAGUGAGGAAUAUUGGUCAAUGGACGAGAGUCUGAACCAGCCAAGUCGCGUGCAGGAAGAAUGUUCCCUAUGGAUUGUAAACUGCUUUUGCAGGGGAAUAAAGUGCAUCACGUGUGAUGUUUUGUAUGUACUCUGCGAAUAAGGAUCGGCUAACUCCGUGCCAGCAGCCGC
rnacentral:rRNA from 1 species